rnacentral:lncRNA from 1 species
AGCGCCUCUGGUGGGCCGCCUCCCGCAGGCCUGGUGUGAGCCUGGGGUCCGUUCUCACAGCUGGAUCUGGGGUCUGAAUGCCGCGCCCUCUGGAGAGCCACAGAUGGGUCUCCGCUGAUGCUUCUCUCAAUUUCCUCUAAGAGCGAGAGCUCCGGGAAAGGAGCCGAUCCUGGUGGAAGACUACAGGUCUGAGUCCACUGGACGAAAAACGAGGCUCCUUGGAUUAGAGACCAUCCUGAGGACAUCCUUGGGAGCCAUGUGCUGAAGAUGGCCAAGCCACAGGAUGAAAGGAGCUGCAUCUUUGAGUCACCACUGGAGAAAGGUCUCUCUAAAUGGAUUUGCAGAGACGUCUUCUCGAAUACUCCCCUUCUAAGUUCCACUUGUAAUCCACUUCUUCUAUUCUCCCAGCAAUCAAUGUGGUUUGGGGAAAUUCCAGAAUCUCAUAAUACCUUGGUCAUGGGUAAAUAAGGAAAGGACCUUUACAUACAUGUGAUGCAAAGCAGAUCAAAACAAGCAGAGCAGCCUAAGAGCAGCAAGACCCCAAAGGAUAAGGGAAGUCCUGCAGAAGAGCAGAGCGGUGCUGCAAAGGCAGGCAGGUAAGGUAAGCAGACAGGGCCAUCAGGAUGGAUCCUUUGGGCAUGCCAGCAUCCACCAGGGACUGGUAGAGCUAUUUAGAGAAACUGAUAAAAAGCUCUGCCAACUACAGUCACAAAAGAUGGAGCUCAGAAUGAUGAGUAGAUGCCUAAAACAUCUCCAUUUUGUUGAUGAAGAAAGUAAAGUUUAUAGAGCUUAGAUUAUUUGCUUUUGUACCUAGCACAGUACUUAGUUUAUAGUAGAUGCACAAUAAGUAUUUGUUUAAUGAGUGAAUGAGUCACUAGCCUAAGACCUUUAAUAUAACAUGCUUAAACCUGCUACCAGGGAUUGGGAACUCACCUAUUUAGUAGUGAGUAGAGGGGUGUGGUACUGGUACUUAAGACAGAUGCAUUGUGGUUGGGUAUGGUGUGUUUUUGUUUUUGUUUUGAGACAGGUUCUCCCUCUGUUGCCCAGGCUGAGAUGCAGUGGCAUUAUCAUGGCUCACUGCAGCCUUAACCUCCCGGGGCUCAAGCGAUCCUCCCACCUCAGCCUCUGAGUAGCUGGGACCACAGGUACGCAUCACCGUGCCUGGCUAAUUUUGUUUUUUGUUUGUUUGUUUUGUAGGGACGGGAUUUUGCCAUGUUGCCCAGGUUGGUCUCGAACUCCUGGGCUCAAGCUACACCCGCCCGCCUCGGCCUCCCAAAGUUGUAGGAUUAAGGUGUGAGCCACUGUGUCCAGCAGAUAUAAUGUUUUUAAAAGUUUGAGAGUUAAUAUGCUCUCUGGUGUGCCCUAGGUCCCACUACUCCUAUUGCCUUAAAACUCACGCAGUACACAUUUGUCUUCCAUGGGCUUCAGUUGUAAGAGAACCCUUUCUACUCUUUGCUGUUCACAAGUCUCCUUUUAAACAGAGCUUGUUCCCAAUGCUGUUUUGUUUUGCCCUCUGCCAUGUUCUUCCGGCCAUCACCUCCUGUGGGGAAAAGAGAGAGAGAUCACAUUGUUACUGUGUCUGUGUAGAAAGAAGUAGACAUAGGAGACUCCAUUUUGUUCUGUACUAAGAAAAAUUCUUCUGCCUUGAGAUGCUGUUAAUCUAACCCUAGCCCCAACCCUGUGCUCCCUGAGACAUAUGCUGUGUCAACUCAGGGUUAAAUGGAUUAAGGGCUGUGCAAGAUGUGCUUUGUUAAAGAAAUGCUUGAAGGCAGCAUGCUCGUUAAGAGUCAUCUCCACUCCCUAAUCUCAAGUACUCAGGGACACAAAACACUGAGGAAGGCCACAGGGACCUCUGCCUAGGAAAGCCAGGUAUUGUCCAAGGUUUCUCCCCAUGUGAUAGUCUGAAAUGUGGCCUCGUGGGAAGGGAAAGACCUGACCGUCCCCCAGCCCGACACCCGUAAAGGGUCUGUGCUGAGGAGGAUUAGUAAAAGAGGAAGGAACGCCUCUUUGCAGUUGAGACAAGAGGAAGGCAUCUGUCUCCUGCUCGUCCCUGGGCAAUGGAAUGUCUCAGUGUAAAACCCGAUUGUAUAUUCCAUCUACUGAGAUAGGGGAAAACUGCCUUAGGGCUGGAGGUGGGACAUGCUGGCAGCAAUACUGCUCUUCAAGUCAUUGAGAUGUUUAUGUGUAUGCAUAUCUAAAGCACAGCACUUAAUUCUUUACCUUGUUUAUGAUGCAGAGACCUUUGUUCACGUGUUUACCUGCUGACCUUCUCUCCACUAUUAUCCUUUGACCCUGCCACAUCCCCCUCUCCGAGAAACACCCAAUAAUGAUCAAUAAAUACUAAGGGAACUCAGAGGCCGGUGGGAUCCUCCGUAUGCUGAACACCGGUCCCCUGGACCCCUUUUUUUCUUUCUCUAUACUUUGUCUCUGUGUCUCUUUCUUUUCCAAGUCUCUCAUUCCACCUAACGAGAAACAACCACAGGUGUGGAGGGGCAGCCCAACCCUUCAACCUACCUAUCUUAUCUCUUCCAUUAUCUAUCCACAUAUGUCCUCUGUAUUUUUUUGAGUAACAUUUAUAAGCAUAAGUCCUUAGGUAGCUAUGCCACUUACAUAAUGAACUAGAAAAGGUAACCAAACAGAAUAGGGUUGUACUCAGAUAUACCUUCUACAAGUUUGUGUUACACAUAUUUACACAUAUUUAAAAAUAUAUACAUAUUAUUAUUGUGCUGUGUGGUUAUUAGGCAAACUCAAUAAGCAGUUCUUAUAAAGUAUACUCAAUGUAACUUUUAUAAACUUACCAUAUUUUAUAGUUAUUCUGUUUUUAUUAGCUGCUAUAAACUACCUGGGUGUCUUGCAUGAGUCAUUUUAUUGUAAUGUUUUUGUAUCUGUUGAAUGAGGAGUUAGAAGGCAUCAUCUUUAAGGAGCUUUACAGGUACAUGUCCAGGGCUCAAUAAUUUUAUUAUUAUUUCCUGGACAGAUAAAACCUAAGCAGGUGAAGGGGAAAGAAUAAAAGUGCAGGGUGGAAGUUGCUUGAAUGCUAACUGGGUCAACGAUCUCCCAGAAAACCCCUGUAAAAGAAACCUAAGAACCUACAUCACCAGGAGACCAUUGGGACCAGUUCCUCUGGAAUCCCUGAGGCCAGAUAAUCAGCUGAAGCUUUACAUUCUGUCCCUUUCUGGUCAUGACUUUCUCCACAGUCUGCUUGGUGCCUCCUCCUCUGUGACUCUAAAUUCUUAGGAUCAACCCCUCUUGCAUAUGCACAUCCGCAGUGCCUGUGGGAUACGGUGUGGUGUGGGGAGGAAACUCUCUUCUGCCUUAAUAUUUUCCUGUGUGCCCCAGGCCUUGACGGAAUCCUGUCUCUCCAUAAUGUUGCUUUUCGAGGAGACUGAUUGAUUGAGAUGGCGUCUCACUUUGUCGCCCAGGCUGGAAUGCAGUGGCGUGAUCUCGGCUCACCAACCUCCACCUCCAAGGCUCGAGUGAUUCUCCCACUUAAGUCUCUUGAGUAGCUGGGACUACAGGUGCAUGCCACCACGCCUGACAAAUUUUUUUAUUUUUUGUAGAGAUGAGGUUUCGCCAUGUUGACCAGGCUGGUCUCAAACUCCUGGACUCAAGUGAUCUGCCCACCUCGGCCUCCCAAAGUACUGGGAUUACAGGCAUGAGCCAAUGUGCCCGUCCUGAGGAGUUUUCUUCUGGAAUUCCUGCUGGGUUUUUGUAGUCAGUCCUCUCCCCAUUUCCCACAUUGGCUCUUGCAGACCUUCCUUUUCCCCAUUUCUAUUUGCUACCAUGUCAGACAUGACUUUUGCCAUAGGAUCUCUAUUCUACUAUAGAGGAAACCAAAGCCAUCAGUAGAAAUUUCACUAACAUGGAAUCAGAUUUAUAGAAGAAAGGGGGAGGAAAGUUUUGCCUUAACACCUGGAAGGGUUUCGUUUCUUUUAGUAGCUGGGAGACAGAAACAUAAGAAAGUAGCUUAGUAAGCUUUCUGCUGUUCAACUGAUGAUGUGUGAGCUGUCAGUAGUUCAAACUAGUCAUUAUCUUUAUGAAUUAAUUAUGUAAUAACUUAAACAAUGUCAUAAACCUUCAAAUCAGUUUAAGUCUAAAUGUGUCAUAUUUAAUAACAAGAGCAAGAAACAUACGUUAUGAUGAAGAGCUCUUAUAUUUUCUUUGGAUAAAAGUCAGUAGGCGGGGCGCGGUGGCUCAUGCCUGUGAUCCUAGCACUUUGGGAGGCUGAGGUGGGCAGAUCAUGAGGUCAGGAGAUCGAGACCAUCCCGGCUAACACGGUGAAACCCUGUCUCUACUAAAAAUACAAAAAAUUAGCUGGGCGUGGUGGCGGGCGCCUGUGGUCCCAGCUACUCGGGAGGUUGAGGCAGGAGAAUGGCGUGAAUCCGGGAGGCGGAGGUUGCAGUGAGCCGAGAUUGUGCCACUGCAUUCCAGCCUGGGCGACAGAGCAAGACUCCGUCUCAGAAAAAGAAAAAAAAAAAAAGUCAGUAAAAUUUAAGAGAAAAAUGCAUUUGCUUUGGGACUUUUAAUAUUUAGUCUACAAAUCUAGCCACCAUAGAAAUCUGCUGAUUAAAUACGGGUUCUGUUAAAAUGGAAACAUGCAUUUUGGGGGAAAAAAGAGGGAGUGUUUUAGUGAUUUUGUUUUUUACACUUGUUUAUAAUAAAAUUUUAAGCAAUCUUGAGGGGAACAUUUUAUUUCUACUUGUAACUGCAUAAAGUUAUGAGAUAAAGUUACAAGCUAUAUCACAUACAGUUUGUAGCUUUAUAAAUUAUGAAAUUCUAACAGAAUAAAUAUGCUAAUAUGAUGAAAAUGUCAUAAAUUACAUUAGAAUAUAUUUUAAUAAACCAAUUCAGAAGGAGCCAAUACCCAAUUUCAAAAUCAUAUUAAUUGUAAAAUUAAUUAGGGCAGCCAAAAUAUUCUGGAAUUCUUUCUAAUAAAACAAAUGAGUGUAAAUACAGUCGUACUGACAAAUCUGAAGAAUUAUGCAGCAUAAAAAGUGAUUAUCCCAGCACUUUGGGAGGCCAAGGUGGGCAGAUCAUGAGGUCAGGAGUUGGAGACCAGCCUGACCAACAUGGUGAAACCCCGUCUUUACUAAAAAUACAAAAAUUAGCCGGGCUUGGUGGUGCACACCUGUAAUCCCAGCUGCUCAGGAGGCUAAGGCAGGAGAACUGCUUGAAUCCAGGAGGUGGAAGUUGCAGUAAGCCAAGAUCACGCCACUGCACUCCAGCCUGGGCGACAGAGUGUGACUCUGACUCAAAAAAAAAAUAAAUAAAUAAAAAUAAAAGUUUUAAAAAAGUGAUUAUUAUGAACACAGAGUAAUCUAGUAAAAAUGGUUAAGUGAAAACAGCAAAAUACAAAAUUGAAUAUGUACUAUAACAAUAUAUGCAAAAUAUACUCAGAUUUAUAAAAAUUAGAAUGUAGAAAAGUAAAUAUAGCUCUUCAUAAUUUUGUUCUGAAGUUUAAAAAUAUAUAUAUUUUUGAAUGGAUAACUUUCUUUUUCUAAAUGCUUACAGUAGAGCCCACGAUGGUUGUUAAAAGCCCCCAGGUUCAGCCUUCUUUAAUUGUGUGGUCAGCCUGCCAUCAACCCGAGGCCUCCCUCUGCUGGGCAAAUUUGGGAACACAUUGAGAAAUCCUUACACGUAAUUCCUUCUCUUCAUGUUCCUGGUGAGCAUUUUUCCCAUUGGGUUUCCAUACUCUGCCCUCUUGAAGUCCUGCACCCUGACAUUGCAGUGUCAUUCCUCUUCUACUGAAGUCUACAACUAUUAGCUUAUUGUCUCUAGCAAGUCUCCCUUUAGCUACAAAUAUCAUUCAGAGUUUUACCUUUCAGAAACUUUCUCCAUGAGCAUUCUGGAGUAGACUCUAGGUGCACUAGGUGCAGUUAGAAAAAGUUCUGAUUUGUUGGUGGAGCUAUAGGAGGAGAGACAAUGGUGGGCUGGAGAAGGGUGUCUACAUGCAGAGAAACUGACUGGAAACUCAGAGAGAUGAUGGGGAUUAAAAUAAUCCUAUUGAAUCUGCACAAAAGUGUUUUAUUAUAAUUGAUCCUGAACUAUGUAAAGGUAAGCUCCAGUGAGUAGUUACAGUCUGUCCCUAAGAUGGACUCUUUCUUUUUGCUUUUAUUUUUAUUGUAUUUAUUUUAUUGUAUUUUUUUUUUCUAAAGACAGGGUCUUGCUAUGUUACCCAGGGUGGUCUCAAGUGGUCCUCCUGGCAUCAAAUGAUCCUCCCACCUCAGCCUCCCAAAGCGCUAGGAUUACAGGUGUGAGCUACCACACCCAAAUGAUUCUUUCUUUUCAAAUACAGAGUUCAGCAGCAAUUUUAAAGAAGUACUGAACUCUACUGCCUGGAAGAUGGAAUGGCCCUCACAAUUCUUCCAGGCAAGCUCUGCACUCAGUGGUAUGGACCACAAGGCAAGCCCAUUAAGGGGUUAAAUUACUGACAAACAAUAAUUUCUAAAUAUGAACAUUUCAGGAGGAACUAAGAUGGCUCCUUCUUGGAGAAUAAGUUGGCCGGCUUCUCUAGUUAUCAGACUAUCAGAUGGGGAGGAAAGAGCCCCUCUGUCCCGGUGAGACAGGACCCGCCAGCGCCCAAGCUCUAAGGCUUUCUGAUGAGCAAAUGGGGUUUCCAUCUUUCUAGCUUCAGGACUCGUAACUACUCAGAUUAUUUCCUUCAAUCUGGAUAUUCAAGACAAGAACAGUUCAUGGUGUUGCGAAGGCCCAGAUUUAAAUCACAUAUGCAAAGAUACUGACAUUCAGUGGAGGGUCACUUAGAUUAUAGCCAGAUGACUUUCCCUAAAUUGAUAGCUCAAAUGGUAGUUGUGGAUAUUUUUGCUCUUAGUUACUUGCAUAGUCACUUGCCAGAGGUAAUAAAGUUUUAGUGUGGUUGUGGAAAAUAAUGGCCAUAUAUUUAGGAACAAAAUUUUAAUGAUGAUUGAAAACUGAAUUAGCUUUAACAUGUGAAUAUGCUCAGGGGACAUAGGACCACAGAUCUCUGUUCCUUCCUAUUGCCACUUCUUUCCUUUCCCUGGUAGCAUGCUUCCAUUACCCAUUACUUCAAACACUGUUUCUGUGUCUCCAACUCCCUUGCAUCAUGGUCUUUUCAUUAUUCAGACACAGACACAGCUCGAUUAUGGGUAAACUUUUUUCUGUGGCUACAGAAGAGUUGAGCAUGGCUGAAGCAUCGUUGAGCAUGACUGAAGAAAAACACCUAACCUUGAAUUUUUUGAUCAAUAUAAAUUUAUAUCCACAGAUUUUACCUGACUGAUCUUCAUUGCCCACCAGUCCUACAAAGUUUGCCAGAUUGGUUCUGUUUCCACUUUACAUACUCAGCAAAUACUUAUUAAGCACACACUUUGUGUUAGGCUUAAGUGUAGAUAUUGAAGAGGCACUGGUGAAUGAGCAGAGGCUCUGCCCCCAUGGGACCUGCAUGCUAUUUGGCAGCUCUUUCAGACAUUCUCCUCUCUCAAAGCUUUGAGCCCCUCUAUACCCCUAUAAGCACCUACUUUCAGCUGCUCCCUCACUCCCCCCUUCAUGGGGGAAAUAACAGCCAUCGUGGUAAAACCUCCACUGCCUGACAGAGCUAUAUUUACCAUCUUUUCUUUAAUUUUUAUUUUUAAUGGACACAGUUGUAUAUAUUUAUGGGGUACUAUGUGAUAUUUUGAUACAUGUAUAGAUUGUGUAAUGAUCAAAUCAGGAAUUAGAUCAGUUUUUUGUCUUUUUUUUGGUAAAAGAUAAUCUUUUAUACUCUUUUGGUCCUGAAAAAUGGAGGAGUGCCAUAUUAGGAUUCCAACAGAAAAAGUUAAACCAAAAGAAUAUAUGAAGGGCAUAUAAUGAAGGGAUAUCUACAAAGUUGUGACAGGGCUAAUGGGAAGAACAGGGGAUAUGAGGCAGCCCAAGAUCAGCAACAGUAGUGAUCCAGUGUCACCCUGUGCUGGUUAUGAAGAUUUAGUCUCUUCUAUCUUUUCCAAUACCGCUUUGCUAGCCACCUCCCCAAACCCUACCAAUAGAAAGCACUGGAGGAAGACUAGAGGGCUGGAAGGAUGUGAAAAGAUUUCCCACUUUGUUUGUUGACAUCCUCACAGAAUGGGUUCUUCAACCUGGCAGUGGCAGUUGAAUCCAGUAACAGCAGUUGGCUUCAGUUUGGAGAUCUUCCAUGCUCCUAAAAUCAGCCUCAUCAUGCCUCUAUCUACAGACAUAUCAUCAUCAGUGGUCCAGCAUACACUCCUCAGAGGUCCCAGUUCUGGGGAUCUCUUCAAAGAAUCUUUUCCUUGUUCUCCUAAACCUGGAGGUGGUAGUUGCUUUCUGUCAUUACUAUCUCUGAUACGUUUGUCCACUUUUCCAUUUUCAGUCCUCUUAUAACUAGUUAACAACCAUUCCCAUAAAAUUCUUUGUUCAAUUUCAGUGCAAUUUCUAGCUCCCAGUUAUACCCUGACAGACACACCUUUAAAUCUGAAGAGGCAAUGGGAGGGAACCUGUAACCAGAGCUAGGCCAGAGCUGGGACUGUGGAGGAAGAGCUGCCCACCAAGCAGGGGGGUGAUGCAGGGAAUAAGUACACUAACCUCUCUCUCCUUUGCCAUCUACAUUCCUGCUGGGCUGAUCACUGGCCAAAUCCAGCUGUUGCAAGAGGGCAGGGCUGCCCAGCUAAUGCUAUCUGUAGAAGCUGGGCUUCUGGGGCACAGAGCAAGUCAGAGACAGGCAGAACAGGGAUGUGGGUUUGGACCAAACACUGAAUAAACCAGAUCAAGGAUUCUUCUAUCAAGACAAGUUUAUAUACUUGCAGCUUGAUCCCAUUGUUUCCCUUAGAUAACUGUGCACUUGUUUUUGUCUGCCCUCUUUCCUGUGUCUACACUCUUCCUGUCUUAUUCUAUUUACACAUAGCUCAGUCUUUUCCAAUUAAAAAAAAAAAAAAAAAGCUUUCCCUCUCCCAAAUCUCCAUGCAGCUGCUGACUUCUCUCUUCCAAAGCCACACUGUGGGAGAGUCAGUUACACCUCCUGACCUCUGACAGGUGCAACACACUAUAGUGAGGCUUCUGCCCUUGGUAUUCCUCUGGCUCCAUUAUUUACAAGGUCACUAAUGACUUCCUAUUUCUAAAUCCAGAGUGCCUUUUUAGUUAUCUUCCUUGCCUUCUUGGCAUCUCUAGAUAACAAUACUUGUCUCAUUCUAACUUUUGUCUCUCCUUACAGCUCUUUCAUUCAUAAUUCAUUGUUAUUCAGUUGGAGCCUUGAUGGUGUUAGGGAGAAGCAGCAUUCUGUAGUCAAAGUGUUAAGCCUCAGUUUAUUAGCAUGCCUAUAUCUUGGGGCUGGGACCGUCACAAGUGUUUAUAAUGAUACAACUCCUCCUCCUCCUCCUUCUCCUCCUCCUCUUCCUCAAGUGUUUAUAAUGAUACAACUCCUCCUCCUCCUUCUCCUCCUCCUCUUCCUCAAGUGUUUAUAAUGAUACAACUCCUCCUCCUCCUCCUUCUCCUCCUCUUCCUCAAGUAUUUAUAAUGAUACAACUCCUCUUCCUCCUUCUCCUCCUCCUCAGACCUUUGCUCCUUUCCUGGCUGCACCAUUUCCAAUUUAUUUUCAUGAAGCUCUGAUCCCUGUUGACUAAUUUUCUUCCCUUAAGUGAGACAGAAAGCCUAGAUGAGGCUGCAGUGGGAAGAAUUACCUUCUCCCAGCUGGGAUAAGACUCUGGCAAAAUGUUUUCCCCUUGAGAGUAGGCCUUUGUUUUGAAGAAGGUUCUGGGGUGUAUUUCAUAAUAAUUCUUCUCUCCCUGCCAAAGCCACAAGAGGAUCCUUCUCAGAUCUUCACUGCAGGAACCUGGUGGGCUUUCUGAUGCCCACAAAAGUGUGGGAGCUUCUCACUCUCAUGGGCAUUCACAGUUGGCCUCCAGCUUUUUGUCAGAGUUACCAAUUUAAAUGUUCUCAAAUGUGAUACUGUCUCAACUUCCAGGACAUCACACACUCAUGAUUUUCUACUAUCCUGACAUUUGCAGUCUUUUUAGCAGAUCUCCCUCCCUCUCCCUGCACCAUGGGUAUUGGUCAUCUCAGGAUCUGUCCCAGGCUUUCUACUCUUCAUGCCCUUUGAGACAACACAUGAUCUGACCUGCCCUUUCAGGAAGAAAUGUUCUGUCUACCUACUUGCUCCAGUUAAAAACCCUAGUGUCAUCUUUGACCCUUCUCAUCCCUACAUCUAAUCUGUUGAUUCUACCUCCUAAUUUUCUCUCAAACGCAUCUAUUUUUCUUCAAUUUCAGUGCUACUCUCUUGCUCUAAUUGUACAUCAUCUUUUUUAGAAUUACUGUGACAUUUUCUUGCCUCCAGUUCUGCCUCAGUCCAUCCACUUCACAGCUAAAUUUUGGAUGUACACUUUUGAACUAUUACUGUAGCAAAAGUAAUAUGUAAUAACUGUAAUGCAGAAAUAUAAAAUAUGCAAUAUAAAAGAAAUACAUGCAUAAAUGAUCCCAACACUAAGGAAACAAUAUUGAUCAAUAAUUAAAUAAUUGGUGGAUAGUGAAUGACAACAUAGAGCAAAGUGUUCAGUAGGUUUUAAAAGCUGUGGGUUCAAUAAAUGCUCAUGAAGCUUGUUCAGGGGCUUGCAAAAUAUGUAAUUUGAAUUUUUAAAGAAAAGGAAUUUCAGAUAAGAAAAAACAUACAUAACAUGAAACAAUACUUGUGGUGGUUUCAGGGAGGUCAUGUUCUCACAUUCAGGUGCCAAGGCCACCGUACAUCCGGACACUGAGGCCACGGACUUGGUCUGCAACCUCCAUGACAGCCUUGUAGAUUUGAAACCGAACUCCAAGGAGCAGUUGUGCUGUGAGUUCCAGAGUUUGGGGACAGAGGAAACACCAUUCUUUGGAAGUCUAACUUCCUUAAGAGGUGUCCCUUAGACAUCUAGUGUCCGGUGUUAUGGAGGUCCUUGUGCUCUGAGGAAGGAGCCCCUUGUUGAUUGAUGGAGCAAAAUUUUUUUAAACAAGGAACUGUACCCGUAUCUGGGCAUGAAGCCAGAGAAAUCCCUGAGGGCAGGGCCAAGGCUCUCAAAGAUUUUCAGGGAGAUUCCCAGCCUUUUUAAGUCUCGCCUAUUCUUUUUUUUUUCUCUAACUGGCCAUUUUGUAUAUAUGGAGGUUAUUGAUUUUUUUGCUUUUAUAUCCUGAUAUUUUAAUAACUGUUCAUUUUUUAGUUAUUUGAAUUAUCUACAUUGAUUAUUUGAAUGUUCUUUUUUUUGUUUUUUUGAGACGAAGUCUCGCUCUGUCGCCCAGGGUGGGGUGCAGUGACAGGAACUUGGCUCACUGCAACCUCUGCCUCCUGGGUUCAAGCGAUUCUCCUGCCUCAGUCUCCUGAUUAGCUGGGAUUACAGGUGCCCGCCACCACACCCAGCUAAUUUUUGUAUUUUUACUAGAGAUGAGGUUUCACCAUGUUGGCCAGUCUGGUCUCAAACUCCUGACCUCAGGUGAUCCACCCACAUCGGCCUCCCAAAGUGCUGGUAUUACAGACAUGAGCUAUUGCACUUGGGCUUUGAAUUUUCUACGUAUCUGACUUCUACGAAGAAAACUAUAAUGUAUUACUCAGAUAAAUUAAACAGGAAAACUAAAUAAUGGAGGAGUAUAUUUACAGUUGAAGCGGUCAAUAUUUUAAAGGUAUUAAUUGUCCCCAAACUGAUCUACAAAACCAUUGUAAUCCUAAUCAGAUUCCCAAUAAGCUUUAUUAUAGAAAUUGACAAACAGGGUUCAAAUUUAAUACACAAAUCCAAGGGCCCAAAAUAAACAAAUCUGUUGCUUUAUUAAAUAUCAAAACUGAUAAAAUGACAAUAAUCAGGGCAGUGUUGUCCAAAAAUAGACAAACGAAUGGAACAGGCUCAAACAAAUAUGGACAUUGAUUUACAUCUAAAGUGGCACCAUACAACAAUGGUGAAAGGACUCUUGUAAAUAAAUGGCAUGGGACAAUUGUAUAGCCUUUUAAACAGAAAAAGAACAAAAAGGAAAAAAAAAGAAACUUGACCCCCUACUUCACACUAUACACAAAAAACAAUUCCAGGGGAACUAACAUGAAAAGCAAAAUAAAGUUAAACAUGAAAAGCAAAAUAAAGUAUAUGGUAAAAAAUUUAUCUUACCCAAAAAGAGGUCUAGCCUUUGCCCUCAGCUACUGGGAGAUGAAUUUUAGACCCUUGAAAUGUUCUCACUGAUAAGUGUGUCUUUGUUUACCUGGAGGUUUUGACCACCACACAGUCAACAAUGUGAUUUAUAAUAGGAACUUUGAGCCACACAGUAUCAGCUCUACCUGUGGAGGUAGACUAAAAGAUCGGCCAUGUGAGCAGUCAACCAUGGCAGGCCAUUAAAACUGCACACUGAGGCUCGGGUGAAAUACAGUUCUCUUGUAUACGGUUUCUACAUGGUUUUAGUUCCUGUGGUCUACUGCAGUCCAAAAAUAAUAAACGGUAAAUUUCAGAAAUAAACAUUCACCUAACUUUUAUACAGUAUAUUCUUAACAAUUAUUCUAAUUUAUUGUUAUUAAUCUCUUACUGUGCCUAAUUUAUAAAUUAAGCCUUAUCAUAGCUGUGUCUGUAUAGGAAAAAACAGCUAUAUAGAGUUCAGUACUAUCCAUGGUUUCAGACAUCCACUGGAGGUCCUGGAACAUAUGUUUUGUGCAUAAGUGGGGACUGCUCUGUACGUCAUGUGUAUUGUCACACAUUAAUGCUGGGAAAGUAAUACUGUUCAUAUUACUGGGAGAGGACAACUGGAAGCUCAUAUUUGGAACUUGCCUGGAUUGUGCCUAUAUUAGUUUCCUAGGGCUGCUGUAACAAAGAGCUAGAAGCUAGGGUGGCUUAAAACAACAAAUAUAUUCUCUUGUAGUUCUGGAAGCUAGAAAUCUGACAUGAAGGUAUCAUUAGAUCUAUGCUUCCACUGAAGCCUGUAGGAAAAUCCUUCCUUGACUCUUCCUAGCUUCUCGUACUUGCUGGCAACCUUUGACAUUCCUUGACCUGCAGCUGCAUAACCUCAGUCUCUGCCUGUGUGUGUCUGUCUUCACGUGACCACCUUAGAAGAAUACUAGUUCUAUUAAAAAAUAUAUAUAUACUACUUCUUCUAAGUCACCAGCCCAUCAUACUGUACUAUAACCUCAUCUUAACUAAUUAUAUCUGCAACUAUCCUAUUUCCAAAUAAGGCCACAAUUCUGAGGUACUGGGAGUUGGGACUUUAAACAUAUCUUCUGGGGGCAAGGGAGAUCUGCAUACAAUUCGAUCCAUAAUACUGCCUUGUGUGUUUCUUUUCUCAGCUGAUUUUAAUCUUUAUUCCUUGAGUUGUUUCCCCUUUUCAACUAUUACAAACAAUGAAUUUUGCUGUGUAUGUGUCUUGGUAUAUAUGUGCACACAUAUCUGCUGUUUGUAUACCUCAGAGUGAAAUUGUUGGGUCAAAUGCUAAAAUCUUUUUAAAAGUAGUUGUAUAAUUUUACAUUGCAUUGGAAUGACAUAAUAAGCUAUAUAUCCUAUAAUAAAUUGUAACCAUGAGGCUAACAGCUUCAGCAAGUUCUGUGAGUCCUUUUAGCAAAUUACUAACCUAAGGUUGAUUGGGAACCACAGACCUCCCAACUUAUAAUUGGUGUUAGAAGUGAGGGUAGUCUUGAGAACUAAUUUCACAAGAAGGUAUUAUAAAAUAAGAUCUUCAUGACCUUGAAAUAGAAAAUGAUUUUUUAAAUAAGAUACAAAAAAGGUUGUGCAUAAAAGGGCAGUGUGCUUAAUUUGAGUACACUAAAUUAAUGACUUUAAUGCAUCAUGAGAUAUCAUUGGCUGGGUGCAGUGGUGGCUCACACCUCUAGUCCCAACACUUUGGGAGGCCAAGGUUGAUGGAUUGCUUGAGCUCAGGAGUUUGAGACCAACUUGGGCAACAGCACCAUCUCUACAAAAAAAUACAAAGAUUAGCUGGGCAUGGUGGCCUGCACAUGUAGUCCCACCUACUAAGGAGGAUAAGAUGGGAGGAUCGCUUGAUCCUGGGAGGUGGAGGCUGCAGUGAGCUGUGAUUGUGCCACUGCACUCCAGCCUCUGACAGAGUGAAGACAAGUUACAGAGGAAAUACCUGCAACACAUAAAAUGGAUAAAGGGUUCGUGAGCAAAAUUUAAAAACUUAAAACAGAAAAGACAGGCCAGGUUUGGUGGCUCACACCUGUAAUCUCAGCAUUUUGGGAGGCCGAGGCAGGUGGAUCACCUGAGGUCAGGAGUUUGAGACCAGCCUGGCCAACAUGGUGAAACCCCGUCUCUAUCAAAAAUACAAAAAUUAGCAGGGCGCGGUGGUAUGCACCUGUAGUCCCAGCUACUUGGGAGGAGGAGAAUUUCUUGAACCCAGGAGGUGGAGGUUGCAGUGAGCUGAGACAGCGCCACUGCACUCCAACCCGGGUGACACAGCAAGAGUCCACCUCAAAAAAAAAGAAAGGACAAAAAGGACAAAAAGACAGCUAUCUUAAACCAACAAGAAAAAACACAAUCUUUUUGGCCUAAAUUGUGUUCCCCCAAAAUUGAUGUUGAAACUCUAACACCCAAUGUGCCUAUAUUUGGAGAUAGGGAUUUUGGGACUUUAUGGAGAUAUUUAAGGUUAAAUGAGGUCAUAAGAGUAGGCCAGUAGUCUGAUAGAUCUGGUGUCCUUAUAAGAAAAGGAAGAGACAUGAGGUCAUUUUAUGGGCAUAUGAAGAGGCCACAUGAGGACACAAAAGGCGACUGCUGUGGUUUGAAUAUGAGAUGACAUCUCACAUCUGCCAUAACAGUAAGAAGGCCCUUGCCAGAGGUGGGCCCCUCGACCAUAGGCUUUAUAGCCACCAGAAUUGUAAGAAAUAAAUCUGUAUUCUUUAUAAAUUAUUUGGUCUCUGGUAUUCUGUUCAGCACCAAACAAUCUAAGACAGCAACUAUCUUCAGGUCAAUAAGAGAGCCCUCACUAGAAACUGAAUCUCUUGGCACCUCAAUUUAGGAUUUCUGGCCUGGCCUUUAGAACUGUGAGGUAAUAAACUCCUUUUGUUCAAGCUACCUAGUCUAGUAUUUUUGUUAUGGCAGCCCAAGUCGACUGAUAUACAAUCCAAUUAAGAAAAAAUGGGCAAAAGAUGUAAAAUAAAACCAUAAUGAGAUAAUACUGCACAUCUGCCACAAUGGAUAACAUCUUCAAAAGAUUAACAAUUUUAAUUGGAAAAAAAUAUUGGGAAGUAUAUGGAAGAACAGGAAUUCCCAGCUAGAUUCCAUCAACAUUAGGUUUGUGAGGUUCAUCCAUGCUGUUUAUAACUGUGGUUUUAAUUUUCAUUUCAUCGCAUGUAAACCUAAUAUCACCACUUUCAAAAAGAGUUUAGCAUUUGACCCAACAAUUCCUCUCCUAGGUAUACAAACAAAAUAUGUAUUCCUAUAUAUACCAAGACACAUACACAGGAAUAUUCACGGUAUUGUUUAUAUUAGCUGAAAAAGGGAAGCAAAUAUGCAUCAACAGUAGACACCUAAAUUGUUGCACUCAUAACAUGGAAUAUUACAUAACAAUAAAAAUGAAUUAAAGUUAUACACAGCAACACAGAUGAAUCUAUUCAAACCUAAUGUUCUGGAGUGAAAUAUGUCAGGUACAUAGGAUUACAUUUGUUUUAUUUCCAUUUUAUAUGUUUCAAAAACAGGCAUACUAAAUUACAGCAUUGGAAAUCAAAAUAGGGGUUAUGUUUAGGGCAGAUGGAGUGAUAAUGUGACUGGAAGCAAGCAUCAGGCGGCUCUGGGAGGGUUGGCUGAUUUUCUGUUUUUUUACUUGUGUGGCAAUUAUUAUGGUGUUCACUUUGUGUUCAUUUAUUGAGCUUUGCAUUUUUGUUUUGCUGUGGUUUUCUGUUUAUAUGUUAUGCUUCUCAGUUUAAAGAAUGUUGAAAUCUUCUAAUACGAAAUUUUUUUUCAAUGAGAAGGAUUUUAAGCAUCCAGAAUCAAUUUUAAAAUCUCCAAUUUGCUUUAUAUGUAGGUUUAUGGACUGCUUAACUGCUACUCAUUUUUUCCUUCAUUUAUCAAUAGUGAAAUAUGAAAUUAAAAUAAUGACUAUUUGUGGCAAAAUUAGGGACUAUGUAGCAUAUUAACAACUUUAUAAAUAAAAGAAUAAAUCAACUCACCUGGGAGUUGUUACUGUCAUUGACCUAAUGCUAUUUCCCAUGGUACUCCUUGUCCCCAUUGAGAGACAUGAGAUACUGCAGAUUUAUGGGUCACUUUCAACAUGUCUCCUCCAGGCCUCAUUUUAGAGAAGCAUAACAUCAUGAGGUUCUAUACAGGCAAGAUCUAGGCUUGUGUCCUUGAACCUUGCAU